CAGCCGGGUUCAAUGCGCCAUAUUGAAGAGGACGGGUCUAAUAGAUCGCUGGAGACACAAUUUAACUGAACCCCGCCCGUUGUGGACUGACUUUGAUGCUCUGAGUCCCUCCCUCCUUCACGCCGCUAGCAGGCCCUGAUGUAGAUUGCCUUUGUCUUACUUGGGACGUUUACCUGAGCGCUUGGUGCUGGUGUCGGGACCGGGAGAUAGGAGUGUCUCAGGAGAGACCUGGCCGAAAACCGCGAGAAAGAAAAGUGAAGCCUAGUGAAACUGCCUUUGCAGUGACUCAAGAAAAACUCAUCACCUGGAGUCCGUGUAAGCUCGGCGACAGCCCUAGCAGCGAGGCCAAAACAGUUUGGGAAGAAAGAAAACCUAAAGUAUUUGCCGUUGGUGAUUCA
rnacentral:lncRNA from 1 species